GUGCAUUUGAAUCUUGCUGACUUCCUGUAUACAAGCUUCUGGAAGGUUGAAAUUGCGUCAAAUUUUUUUGAGAUGUUUGUGCUGUGUUUAGCAGCUGGCUUAUUUGGAAUAUCUGUCCAGCUCAAAAAUGGCUCCAGCGGUUAGAAACAGGUGAUGGCAUGGCAGAAUGGCUUUAUGGAAACUUCAAGCAUGUGACAGCUUAAUUUUCUUCCACAAGGCUGUGAGACCAGUUUGCAGGUGAUGCUAAAGUUAUCAGAUCGACAGCACCAGUUGACAUACAGCCAACACUUAGUGUCUAGUUCAUUGUCAAAAGAAAUGUUUGUGCCUCUUUUGUUACAACAGCUGGCUUAUUUGGAAUAUCUGUCCAGCUCAAAAAUGGCUCCAGCGGUUAGAAACAGGUGAUGGCAUGGCAGAAUGGCUUUAUGGAAACUUCAAGCAUGUGACAGCUUAAUUUUCUUCCACAAGGCUGUGAGACCAGUUUGCAGCCUUAGGUCAUGCUCCCCAUUAUAUGUCCCAUGCAAGCCCAACCCAGAAAAUGCACAGCUAACAUUCACGGUGAUGCUAAAGUUAUCAGAUCUACAGCACGAGGUGACAUACAGCCAACACUAAGUGUCUAGUUCAUUGUCAAAAGAAAUGUCUGUGCCUCCUUUGUUAAAACAGAUGUAGCAAUGUGAAGCGAGAGGUCUUCACCUCAACUGCGUCUGCUGACAUCCAGGCUGCAAGUUGAUUUUGUUUUAUAUACAGAUCUUCAAGCACUGGACAAAAUGUCUACAUGAAACAUUUCUCCGUUACAUCAGCCCAGGUGUUUUAACAGCUGGAGUACGUGUGUGUUUUGCGUAACUGCUGCUCUCACAAGUCGUGUACCCAUGGAAAGGGAUUGUCCUUGGCGUUCCUGUUUGAACUAUAAACCUAGCUAUUUAAUAAAAUGCUAAUAAAGUGUUUCUGAUAUCUAUUCUAUUAAUAAAGCUGUGACUUAUCUUA